rnacentral:rRNA from 1 species
AGCGAACGCUGGCGGCAUGCCUAACACAUGCAAGUCGCACGGGGGGGCUUCGGCCUCCCAGUGGCGGACGGGUGAGGAACGCGUAGGGACCUGUCGAGGGGUGGGGCAUAACCGCGGGAAACUACGGCUAGUACCGCAUGCCGCCGCGGCGUGACAGCCUGGGCCAAAGGCGAAAGACGAGCGAGGAGGGGACUGCGUCCGAUUAGCUGGUUGGCGGGGUAGCGGCGCACCAAGGCGUCGAUCGGUAGCUGGUAUGCGAGGGUGAGCAGCCACACCGGGAGUGAGAAACGGCCGGGACUCCUACGCGAUGCGGGAGUGGGGGAUAUUGGAAAGUGGGGGCAAGCCUGAUGCAGCACUGACGGGAGGGUGAAGAAGGUAUUCGGAUAGUAAAGCCCUUGUGGCGGGGAAGAUGGUGACGGUACCCGAAGAAAAAGCCCCGGCUAACUUCGUG